AGCUGCACGCGACCCAGGUGCUGGCCUCUGAGCGGGUCGGCUCGGAGACUACAGGAUCAGGAGGAGGUUGGAGGUGAAGCGUCUGGAAUCCGGUAAAGAUGGACACCUGCAUGAGGGAAGGAAUAUGUGAGCAGCUUCCAUUUCCCUUCCAUGGUCUUCUCAGCUUCCUCCAACAGUAGAUUGUUCAGCCUCCCUAAAGCAGGAGAAGAGGAAGGGGAAGAAAGGUGUUUUUCCGGGUUUCUAAGCAAAUACCUUGCUGCAGAUCUUCAACUGCAGGGGAGGGCAUGUUGCCAGAACAUCCUGUUUACAGAGGCCACUUAAAAUCCUUACGUUAACCCUAGGCAUACUGUGGUCAUCCUUUUCUGGUGGGUCACAUUGGCCCUCCAGAAGUUCUCUAGAACAGGAUCCAAGAUCUCCUGAGGUCAGCUCACUCCGUAUGGUCCAUAUCCUGUCACCACGUGGGAAUUAAGUUCCUAUCUCUGUUUCUCCUAAAUGGCAGGAAAAAAGGUAAAGUUCUCCUAAGAACUCUCUUAACACACUCCCCUUUGGAUCUUAGAGGGACUGGGAUGGAUCGGGUCAACUUGCUUGGUUUGAUUAGAGGAGGAAACACCCACCUCCUUUCCUCAGGGUGCUGAGAACACACCCACAGCUCUUCCCAAAAAUAGUCUCACCUCACAAAAAGUCCUCUUCCUCAGCCUCCCCAGCCUCUCACAUGUCCUUGAGGUAUGUUGAACUGUAGCAAAAAUUGUUUAUAGCCAGUUUCUUUUUUUUAAUUUUAAUUUUUUAAAAUAUGGUCAGCUGGGCGCAGUGGCUGCC
rnacentral:lncRNA from 1 species